UUCUUCACUCAUUUGUGUUCGCUUUUCUUUUCCUUUUUCCAUCAUUGUUCUUCUUUCUCUUCUUCGUCUCUAGCGGAGUCCAGCAAAAACGGGCAGGCAAGAGCUAAG
rnacentral:ribozyme from 11 species